rnacentral:rRNA from 1 species
UACAGAGGGGGCAAGCGUUAUUCGGAAUUAUUGGGCGUAAAGCGCGUGUAGGCGGUUUUGCAAGUCGGGUGUGAAAGCCCUCAGCUCAACUGAGGAAGUGCGCCCGAAACUGCAGAGCUUGAGUACCGGAGAGGAUGGUGGAAUUCCCCAAGUAGAGGUGAAAUUCGUAGAUAUGGGGAGGAACACCGGUGGCGAAGGCGACCAUCUGGACGGAUACUGACGCUGAGACGCGAAAGCGUGGGUAGCAAACAGG